GGGAGGCCAAGGCAAGAGGAUCUUUUGAGCCUAGGAGUUAGAGACCAGCAUGGGCAACAUAGAGAGACUCCCCACCAAAAAUACAGAACAUAAAAGGAAACCCGGACCCACAUCCUACUCUGCUAGCACAUGGACCUCAGAUAAGGGGGAACAGAGGACUGUUCCCAAACCAACCAUUCUUUUUUAAAAAUUUCUUCCUGAGGAGCCUGGAGAAGGUCACACUCAUGAACCACAGGAUGCUCACCUUUGGAACCUAACCACAAUGUUGUCAGGAAAGAGGAAGCACAGUGGGCUGUUUUUAUGACAACUCCAGCUAAGGCCUUAGCUGACAACAAGCAUCAACUGGCAGACAUGAGUGAGAAAGCCUUCAGAGGAUUCCAGUCCCUAGCUUUCAGGCCACUGCAGCUGACACUAAAUGGCGUACAGAUUAGCUCUCCCCAUUGAGCUUUGCUCAUUGCAGUUUCAUAAGCAAAAUAAAUGUUGUCAUUGUUUUAUGCUA